UUCUCCUCUUGAGCUAACUUUUGAGGGUAAGUUAGACCUGACCCAUUUUUUUAAGAAUAAUAAAAGUGGAACUAUCCCAUAUCAUCCUAAGGUUAAAUAAAGACCCCUCCUCAUCAAUAGGGUAGAGAAUUAAGAAAUGCAGAAAUAAAGAACACUAAGGCUUACAGAGAAUAUAAACUAUAAAUAUGUGUGUUCCACUUGUUAGGCAGAAGGGGCCUAAGAGAAAAUCAGGGCUAGGCUUUGCCAGCUGCACUCAUAAAGACUCACACCAACUUAACGAGGAUUUGAUGCUACUUGGGAAAGCAAUGAAUGUUUUUGUGUGGCAUUUAUGGUCCUCACAUGAAUAAUAAAAUUAUCAACUAAUUUAGUUUUUUAAUUUUAAGUGUGCUACUAUAAAUACGAUUUUAUAUAAAAAAAUUUUAAUAAUUUUAAAUUAAAUAUUUAUAUUAAGAUUAAAUUUUCACAACGUAUUGGUAUUUAAUUCUACCUUCAAAAAGAGGGCAACUAGGUUCCAAAUAUUAAAAAUCAAACAAAUAAAUUCAAGAAUGUAUGCAAUGGAGAGACGAAACACUAGAAUGCAUAAAUGCUUUACAGCCACAAAUUUUCUGCUCCAAUAUAAUAUAAAGAAAGUGUUUAUAAAGAGCAUAAAAAUAUAGUAUUUUUGCUUAUUGGUGUGGAUGAUUGGCUGGAUUCGAGGUGACGGAAAUGGCAUGUUGUGCAACAGGAACAUUUGAAAUGAGUUACCUCUGCAAUGAACAUUCAUUUACGUGCCCAGAUGCCAAUAAAUAUGUAUUUUGGGAUGCCUUCCAUCCCACUGAAAAAACAAAUCAAAUUAUCUCUAAUCAUGUCAUCCCUACACUUCUUGCUGAGUUUCACUGAACUCUGAACUACUACUACUACUACUGGUUCUGUCUUUCUUAAUUUAAUGUAUACAUUUAUUAAUAUCUAGAUUUUAGACUCUUGUAGCAAUAUGCAU
rnacentral:misc_RNA from 1 species